AAGACUUUGAUUCAGUCUUUAGAUUUCUUUUUCUCCCUGAGGGACUCAGGGGAAUUGCUAUUUCAUGCAAUCCAACACCGGGAGAGAGGAUCAAAGUCUGCAGGUCUCAUCUGUGUAGUGAAAGGGUUAAAUCUUGCCCAGGCCUUGUGGAUGGUCACGUGAUCUCUGCCUGGGCCCAGUGGUCAGAGCUGUUUACGAUGGAGGAUUUUCCGUGGCUGUGCUGGGGGAGGGCAGCUGGGAUCUCAGCAGCCAGGUAGAAGGAUCUCUGUCUGGCUGCUACAGCAGCCAAGGAACGGAUUCCCUGGUGCGCCCCCAGGACCUUCCCGGGAGGGACCUCGAACCUCGGAUCACUCACCAUGAGGACAGACAACAACCUGCUGGCCUGCGGAUAAAGGUUCAAAAAGGUCACCUGUCCAUCUGACCAGACUGUGUGCCUCUGAACACAUGGGAUCCAGUGAAAAUCGACGUCAUCACACAGCCUUGGUACUCCAGACAUGGAUCAGAAGUGGACCUAUCAGGACACAGUUGUGUCUGAACACUACACAGACAGUUGCCAACCGAACUUUUAUGUUGUUAUUAUGAUGUUGUGUCUCUACCAAUUUUUCAGUUAUCCUUUGUUUUAAGAUUUAGAAGGAUCUGAAGAACAACUUGAACAUCAAAGCCCUCAGUCAGCAAUCAGCUGCCAGCUGACAUCACGAGAGCAGUGAAUGUUCCAAGACUGAAUCGUGUUAAAUCAUAGUCUGUUUGUGAAGGAAAUUCUGUAGAAGAUCUAAGAAAAGUGUAGAGACUCCAUCUAACUGUAUAUAAAGCAAAUUGUGGUUGUGUGUUUACCCUUUCAGCAAAUUGCUUUCACGCUUAGACUACAUAUAUACCAGAGCUCGUGUGUUAAAAGUCGUUAGAUAAUAGUUUAAAGUAAAGUGUUUAGCCUAUGUAGUAAUUGUUAUAUUAGUAUAAAGUAUAAGUAUUCCCCCUUCAAGAGGUAGUGUAGGCAUCUUUGAAAGUUCAUUUAACAUUAAA